rnacentral:rRNA from 1 species
UACGUAGGAUGCAAGCGUUGUCCGGAAUUAUUAGGCGUAAAGAACUCAUAAACGGUCUGUCGCGUCGGCUGUGAAAACUCGGGGCUCAACCCCGAGCCUGCAGUCGAUACGGGCAGACUAGAGUCCGGCAGGGGAGACUGGAAUUCCUGGUGUAGCGGUGAAAUGCGCAGAUAUCAGGAGGAACACCGGUGGCGAAGGCGGGUCUCUGGGCCGGUACUGACACUGAGGAGCGAAAGCGUGGGUAGCAAACAGG